rnacentral:tRNA from 1 species
GGAGGUACAGCUCAGUGGCAGAGCGCAUGCUUAGCAUGCAUGAGGUCCUGGGUUCAAUCCCCAGUACCUCCA